CAAUAGCGUAUAUUAAAGUUGUUGCAGUUAAAAAGCUCGUAGUUGGAUUUCGGGACGGGCCAGUCGGUCCGCUGAAAGGUGAGUUACUGACUGGUCUGUUCUUCUUCGCAGAGACUGCGUAUGCUCUUAAUUGAGUGUGCGUAGAAUUUGCGACGUUUACUUUGAAAAAAUUAGAGUGUUCAAAGCAGGCGUGACGCUUGAAUACAUGAGCAUGGAAUAAUGGAAUAGGACUUUGGUUCUAUUUUGUUGGUUUCUGGGACCGAAGUAAUGAUUAAGAGGGACAGUUGGGGGCAUUCGUAUUUCGUUGUCAGAGGUGAAAUUCUUGGAUUUACGAAAGACGAACAACUGCGAAAGCAUUUGCCAAGAAUGUUUUCAUUAAUCAAGAACGAAAGUUAGAGGCUCGAAGAUGAUUAGAUACCGU
rnacentral:rRNA from 1 species